UCCCUGGUGGUCCAGUGGCUGAAACUCUACUCUCUGAAUGUAGGGGGCCUGGGUUCGAUUCCUGGCCAGGAAA
rnacentral:tRNA from 1 species